CUCGCUCGCCAGCUCCUCACAGCUACAAGCAGUGAUAAACCAUGAAGAACUUGCCCAUCGUUCUCGUUAUUGUUCUGCUGUCGGCAGUGAUGCUGGCGGAUGCUCAGGGGUUUCGAGGAGGCCGAGUUGUUGGUCGUCAGUGUGAUCGACAACUCUGCCGGCUUGGACAACGUUGCGUCGAGGUACCAAUUAGAUGCUUCAGGGCACCCUGCCCACGGCUGUUCAGAUGCGUCUGAAGGAAGAAUUCCUGAGAU
rnacentral:lncRNA from 1 species